AUUCAAGAAAAGAUAUACCAGAGCAGAGGAGGGUGAAUGAGACUUUUUUUCCCUCAGUGGACACAGAAGACAAAAGUUAAAAUGAAUGAGUUAUCCCUUAGGUAAGAGCUACACUAAAGAUGCACGCAGCCAGCAGAAACAAUUGUGCACAAAGCAAAUAGGUUUCUCCGCGAAUUCUCUUGGGCCAGUUCUUAAAAGCUUUUUAAACAUCUGUUAAAGUUUUCAUUUUAUAGAAUAUAUUUUUAAAAAGGUAGAGUGUUAAUAUAACAUAGUAGGUGGACUUUUUGAGAUUAAGAACAUGCUUUACUUUAUUAAACUUUCUCUUUGAUUUUACAGAGAAUAUGAAA
rnacentral:lncRNA from 1 species